CCUGCUGCUCCCUCACCCCACAGGAUCCCAGCCCUGCUGCGAGGACAGGUGUCAGGCAGGGGGCAGUGUUGACCUGCCGGCCCCAGGCAGGUGGCUCACGCCCAGGCCAGAACCCUGGCACAGCCCAACCCUGCCCUCUGCCGGCACUGCCCCUCCACAUCACGCCCCUGCUCACUGCCAUGUCCUCUGGCCACACAGGUAGGACCACCGGGCAGCUGCCACCUGCAUGCCGUUCACAGAACCUGGUCCGGGGCGCUCCUCUGAGCCAGCCGCCUCUUUAUCCCUUACAGUGACCCUGAAGGGCGGCGGAGGCGGGGCUGGUCUCAGGUCUGGGCUUUACGCUCUGCUGCCACUGUCUUGACAUUUUAAAUACAUUUUGAAUCAGGGGACUCUCAUUUUCAUUUUGCGUGGGCUCCGCCAUUGAGGCCAAAUCCGACGCCAGAGGCGGUACUUCCUGCUGUAACCACCCCAGGACGCAGCUGGGGGGCAGGGGCGCGGGAAGGUGGGAGACCUGGAGCAGCCGGGGUCCCCGGGGUCCUCUCGGCCGGCUUCACCCCCACCCCUGGGAACCCGGGAAGAGCCGGCUUUCGCUUCCUGUCUAUUAAACCCUUUAAAGGAAGAGGGUAAAUAAAACCGCCCGUCUGCCCAGCUGGAAAGCGAUGACUCAGCCGCCCCGCCGACCCUCGCCCCAGGCUGAUCCCAGAGAGCGGGCGUCGCGGCCCAGCCCGGACCCCUCGGCUCCCGGGACCUCUCUCCGGUCCAGGUCGUGGGGACGCGGUCGGAGCAGUCCGUCCCCCAGUUCGGGACACCGCGAGGGCGCAGGGAGGAGAGCCGGCUUCCUCUUCCCCUCCCAUGUACUGAGCUCUAUGGGUUGCUGUUCUAGCCCUUUCCACGUGUUCCCUAAUCCGGCGAAGGUUACUGUUCCCCCUGGGAAGGGCCCCCGAAGAGGACGGAACGGCCAGCGCUCGGGAUCCUACGCCCGGCACGCCAUGAAGUCCCCCGACGAGGUGCUACGCGAGGGCGAGCUGGAGAAGCGCAGCGACAGCCUCUUCCAGCUAUGGAAGAAGAAGCGCGGCGUGCUCACCUCCGACCGCCUGAGCCUGUUCCCCGCCAGCCCCCGCGCGCGCCCCAAGGAGCUGCGCUUCCACUCCAUCCUCAAGGUGGACUGCGUGGAGCGCACCGGCAAGUACGUGUACUUCACCAUCGUCACCACGGACCACAAGGAGAUCGACUUCCGCUGCGCGGGCGAGAGCUGCUGGAACGCGGCCAUCGCGCUGGCGCUCAUCGAUUUCCAGAACCGCCGCGCCCUGCAGGACUUUCGCAGCCGCCAGGAACGCACCGCACCCGCCGCGCUCGCCGCACCCGCCGAGGCCGCCGAGGCCGCCGUGGCCGCCGCACCCUCCGAGCCCUCCGGGCCAUCUCCGCAGCCCAAGCCCCGCACGCCAUGAGCCCGCCGCUGUGAGUGCCCCGGCGAGCCCCGCGCCCUCACAGCCGGGACGGGGGCCGUUGGGAAAAACCACUUCAACGUCAGACGGCGGGGCGGGGCGGGGAGCUGCAUCUCCUUGGGGGACCCGGCGCCCCGCAAUCGCGCUGGCCCCCUCGCGUCAGGGUCUCGGGGCCCCUUGGGCUGGACCCCGACCGGCCCUGGCACAGCUCCCUGACCCAGUCCUUUCCCCACAGGGCCAUACGCUGGACGAGUCGGACCGAGGCCAGGACGUGGCCGGCGCUCUCCAGCUCCGCAGCAGCAGAACUUCCCGUGCGCGCGGAUCCUUGCUCCGUUGCACGGGCGCCUUAAGUUAUUGGACUAUCUAAUAUCUAUGUAUUUAUUUCACUGGUUCUUUGUAGUCACAUAUUUUAUAGUCUUAAUAUCUUGUUUUUGCAUCACUGUGCCCAUUGCAAAUAAAUCACUUGGCCAGUUUGCUUUUCUACCAUUCGGCUGUGGCUCAGUGAGGUUCCUGCUGGGAGGGUGGAGGCCCAGGAAUGGGUGGGCAGGACACCCUCAUCCAGUCCUGCGGGGCUGGCGUGAAAGGCGCUGGGAACCGGCUUUGAAUGAAUAAAUGAAUCGUCUCAUCUGCUGAGCCUGGUCCACACCCUCUUUUCUAAGUAGCCUCCCCAGAGGCCAGGAAGUGCCCUGGGGCUUGACCCUGG
rnacentral:lncRNA from 1 species